rnacentral:rRNA from 1 species
UACGUAGGGCGCAAGCGUUGUCCGGAAUUAUUGGGCGUAAAGAGCUCGUAGGUGGCUUGUUGCGUCUGCCGUGAAAGCCCGUGGCUUAACUGCGGGUCUGCGGUGGAUACGGGCAGGCUAGAGGCUGGUAGGGGCAAGCGGAAUUCCUGGUGUAGCGGUGAAAUGCGCAGAUAUCAGGAGGAACACCGGUGGCGAAGGCGGAUCUCUGGGCCUUACCUGACGCUCAGGCGCGAAAGCUAGGGGAGCGAACAGG